GGGCCCGCACAAGCGGUGGAGCAUGUGGUUUAAUUCGAUGCAACGCGAAGAACCUUACCAGGGCUUGACAUACUACAGGAUCCUGCGGAGACGCGGGAGUGCCUUCGGGAACUGUAAGACAGGUGCUGCAUGGCUGUCGUCAGCUCGUGUUGUGAAAUGUUGGGUUAAGUCCCGCAACGAGCGCAACCCUUAUCCUUGUUUGCCAGCGAGUAAUGUCGGGAACUCCAGGGAGACUGCCGGUGAUAAACCGGAGGAAGGUGGGGACGACGUCAAGUCAUCAUGGCCCUUACGAGUAGGGCUACACACGUGCUACAAUGGCGCAUACAGAGGGCAGCAAGCUAGCGAUAGUGAGCGAAUCCCAAAAAGUGCGUCGUAGUCCGGAUUGGAGUCUGCAACUCGACUCCAUGAAGUCGGAAUCGCUAGUAAUCG
rnacentral:rRNA from 1 species